GACGAACGCUGGCGGCGUGCUUAACACAUGCAAGUCGAACGGAAAGGCCCUGCUUUUGCGGGGUGCUCGAGUGGCGAACGGGUGAGUAACACGUGAGUAACCUGCCCUUGACUUUGGGAUAACUUCAGGAAACUGGGGCUAAUACCGGAUAGGAGCUCCUGCUGCAUGGUGGGGGUUGGAAAGUUUCGGCGGUUGGGGAUGGACUCGCGGCUUAUCAGCUUGUUGGUGGGGUAGUGGCUUACCAAGGCUUUGACGGGUAGCCGGCCUGAGAGGGUGACCGGCCACAUUGGGACUGAGAUACGGCCCAGACUCCUACGGGAGGCAGCAGUGGGGAAUAUUGCACAAUGGGCGGAAGCCUGAUGCAGCGACGCCGCGUGCGGGAUGACGGCCUUCGAGUUGUAAACCGCUUUCGCCUGUAACGAAGCGUGAGUGACGGUAAUGGGUAAAGAAGCACCGGCUAACUACGUG
rnacentral:rRNA from 1 species